rnacentral:lncRNA from 1 species
UUCUUAACUUUAGAAGAGCAGGUUUUUCGACAUGUUUGCUUCAUGUCUUCUUAAAAAAGAUUGAGGACAUUUUGGACUUCUAGUUAUUACUUAUACUAAUUUCAUACGCGUAGCUUAUUCACACAAACGCCACGUGUAAAUUGAGAGGCACUAUAGUUGUCUUCUAAAAGAUACAUACCUUCUUUUUUCCAAUCUUUCACUCUGUUCUUAUUCGGUCUCUUGCUCUGUUCAAGCUCUAGGUAUGCAUAUUUUCUUCUUUUUUCCUCGAUCUUCUUUUAUUUCUGGGUGGGCUUCUUUUGAGUUCUCUCCACCCUUCGUAGUUUUGCAUCUUCAUCCUCAAAUUCGGUUAUUUAUUUCUCUGUCUCCCUUUUUUUCCUUUUCUCGUGAGCUAAAGCAGAUGCAAAAAAAAAAAAUUAUUCUUGAUUUCUGCGAAACAUAAAUACUUCGCUGGCUUCUUGAUCUCUAUCUCUCUUGAUAAUAACCCUGAUCUAGGUGCUAGGCCUAAUUAAAUAGAAGAAAAUUUAGGGGUUCUUUCAUAUUUCCUGAUUUUGCUUUGCUGGCUUUCUUUGUUUUCUUGGUAUUUUCUGAUUUCGCAAUUUUACAAUUAUUGUGUUCUAAAUUGGAGAGUGUUAUUCGAGUAACUAACUAUGUAGAACCAUAUAUCAUGGUAGUAAUUUUAUUUUAUUUGGGCUUCUUGGUGACAAUUUGAUUUUUUUUUUAAGGAGGAGGAGUUUCUCCUCAAAAUACUAAAGAAAUAACUAGAUCCUUUCUAGAGUGGUAUAGAUAACAAUGACUAAGCUAGCAGUUAUUUAAAAGUUGCACGUAUGACUGUUAUAAUUGUUUAAAUUGCUUUAAUUUUUUAAUCUUUCUCUACAUUUUGGUUAUAGUUGUCUAAUACUUUAUUAUUUUAUUGUGUUUUAUUUUUAUUAUUAAUAGUUCUUAGAUCUUCUAUAUUCAGCAAGAGACAACAGAAUAAGUUCAACCUAUUACAGACCAUCGAUGAAUUAACUCCGUUGUGAUAGUUGUCUAUCUGUGCGUUUGUGAAGCAUUUCAUAAUAUGGUAAGUGAUGCUCUUCUACUCCUUAUUCUCUUAAUACUCUCUAUUGUUGAUUUUUUAUGUAUAUUGAAUUUUUACUUGGGUUCUUUAACUUUUUGAUAUAUAUAUAUAUGUGUGUGUGUGUGUGAAAUAUGACAUUAGUCAAUAUUAAGAAUACACUCAAUAAUGUUAAAUAUGUAAUCCAAAUUUCAUAUUCAGGGAAUAGAAAAGUAAUGCUGAAUUAUCGAAUAGUGAUCAUAAAAAUGAUCAAAUCUUCAAAAAAGUACAUGCCAACAAAAAGGUUAGGUGAGCUAAUAAAAAAGAGGCACUCUUAGGACGACCAAACAAAGCUUAAUCAGGCAAACGGCAUAUUGCUGCUACCUCAAUUAUACAUCUAAUUUUUUCAGUUCGUUUCAUAUCCGUUGGUGUAUUAGUUACUUGUAUGUGAUUAUUUUUUACAUACCUUUAUGCAUAUUUUUGUCAUAGGUUGGACACUGCUACAACACUGGGAUGCAGUAGAGAAUUUCAAUGCAACCACACUGCUUGAUGUAUGGCUGGAUUUCUAGAGUUAUAUUCCUUUUCAUGUAUAAACCUAAAAUCUAAAUCAGUGAAACAUGGAGAUUUUCUUUUGUUUGUAAGGUUAGUAUGUUGUUGUUUUAUUUGAAACUUCACUUUAUUUUUGCAUUAUUCUUCAUAAAUUUACUGGCUAAUUCUUUGUCUCUGUUAUACAUUUUUUGUUACCUUUUACUUUCUUCAAUUGAGUGAUGCUGAGAAUAUUGCUUUAACUUUGAAUUUCUAAGGUUAAAUCUAAACUCUUUUAUUUAACUUUGUCAGGCUACUUUUCAUGGGAAUGCUUCGUCCAUUGAUCCGACAAAGAUAGUGAUAAUCCUUUAAUUUUCUCUUUCUGUCGGUAAAUGUUUGAGCCUACAUGGUUGUUUUGAAAUUUUAUCGUAGCCUUAUCUAUGACUAUUAUGUUUGGAAGUUCAGUUGAUUCGAGGAAAUAGAUGACUUCUGGGGAAAGAUUAGUCUUUUUAUUAUGGUAAAAGGUUGUUGCAUUCGAUCAUCCAUUUUAUCAAAUGCAGUGGGUUUGUCAUACAUUUUCUUAUUAAUCACAAAAUAAUGUUGCUCUUCGAUGUAUAAUAAAUAGCUAGGUGACUCCCACAAAGAACGGGACAUAUGCUAUGAAAUUGCAGAGGAUGAGUUUAUCUUUCUAAUAUCAUUCAAUUGCCUAGCAUAUUAACUUGAUUUCACUAAUAAUGUACUUUAUUACUUAGAAAAGUUUUGACUGGGA